rnacentral:tRNA from 1 species
GCGCGAUUAGCUCAGUUGGUAGAGCAGCUCGUUUACACCGAGAAGGUCAGGAGUUCAAGUCUCUUAUCGCGCACCA